UGGAAUUCUGCUGCGCUGAUUAGGAAAGUUCAUUUCCAGGUUGCGGUUUGCAGUUGACAGAGCCCUGCUUACCCCUCGCUCUAUCAAUCCAAGGAAUCCUCAAAAAUCAAAAUCACCACAGCCAUUCAUCCAGAGGUGCUGGGACCCACAAGGUCUCUCCAGAACUUCCAAGUCAAGAGAGAAGGGGAAGCAAGAAAUGCCACCUGGAGGUCACCCCGUGCCAUGGGAACAAAUGUCCCUCCUGAUCUGGGCUCGUGGAAGGGACCAGGACAACUUUC
rnacentral:lncRNA from 1 species